AUUGAACGCUGGCGGCAGGCCUAACACAUGCAAGUCGAGCGGAGGAAGGGAGCUUGCUCCUGGAGUCAGCGGCGGACGGGUGAGUAAUGCCUAGGAAUCUGCCUGGUAGUGGGGGAUAACGCCCGGAAACGGGCGCUAAUACCGCAUACGGCCUGAGGGUGAAACAGAGGGAUCUUCGGACCCCACGCUCGCAGAUGAACCCAGGUCGGAUUUGCUAGUUGGUGGGGUAAGGGCCUCCCAAGGCUACGAUCCGGAACUGGUCUGAGAGGAUGAUUCGUCACACUGGAACUGAGACACGGUCCAGACUCCUACGCUAGGCCGCAGUGGGGAAUAUUGGACAAUGGGCGAAAGCCUGAUCCAGCCCUGCCGCGUGUGUGAAGAUGGUCUUCGGAUUGUAAAGCACUGUAAGUUGGGAGGAAGGGCAGUAAGUUAAUACCUUGCUGUUUUGACGUUACCAACAGAAUAAGCACCGGCUAACUUCGUG
rnacentral:rRNA from 1 species